GGAUGGUGAUGAGGGAUUGAAGAUUGUAAGCCAUUUUUCAGAUCUCUGCUCACUCGAAAAAUGACAGUAUUACAAUUAAUGAUUCCAUGUGCCCUCUUUUGAAAAGUGAAGAUGACUGUUAACUGCACAGCUCUAACUCAAGUGGGACACACAAACUUUUAUUUUGGACAGAUAUGAUAUGAAACGAAGGCGUUUCAGUCGGUUUGCAAUCCAAAAGCUUAAUUUA
rnacentral:lncRNA from 1 species